UAAUAAGUGUUUUAUGGCACUUUUUAAAUCCAUAUCCACCUUGUGUGCAAUGUCAGUCGAUCUUCUUCAUGGAGAUCGACCAAACAUCAACCUUUAUCUUUUAACUCUUUGUCUGUAAAAUAUUAUGAAUAAACAAUUCAAAAUA
rnacentral:misc_RNA from 1 species